UGAGCCCGUAGCUCAGUCGGUAGAGCAACGGACUUUUAAUCCGUGGGUCGCGCGUUCGAGUCGCGCCGGGCUCAU
rnacentral:tRNA from 1 species